AGUGAACGCUGGCGGUAGGCCUAACACAUGCAAGUCGAACGGCAGCACAGUAAGAGCUUGCUCUUACGGGUGGCGAGUGGCGGACGGGUGAGGAAUACAUCGGAAUCUACUUUUUCGGGGGGGAUAAGGUAGGGAAACUUACGAUAAUACCGCAUACGACCUACGGGGGAAAGCAGGGGAUCUUCGGACCUUGCGCGAAUGAAUGAGCCGAUGUCGGAUUAGCUAGUUGGCGGGGUAAAGGCCAACCAAGGCGACGAUCCGUAGCUGGUCUGAGAGGAUGAUCGGCCACACUGGAACUGAGACACGGUCCAGACUCCUACGGGAGGGAGCAGUGGGGAAUAUUGGACAAUGGGCGCAAGCCUGGUCCAGCCAUACCGCGUGUGUGAAGAAGGCCUUCGGGUUGUAAAGCCCUUUUGUUGGGAAAGAAAAGCAGCAGGUUAAUACCCCGCUGUUCUGACGGUACCCAAAGAAUAAGCACCGGCUAACUUCGUG
rnacentral:rRNA from 1 species